rnacentral:rRNA from 1 species
GACGAACGCUGGCGGCGUGCUUAACACAUGCAAGUCGAACGGAAAGGCCCUGCUUUUGUGGGGUGCUCGAGUGGCGAACGGGUGAGUAACACGUGAGUAACCUGCCCUUGACUUUGGGAUAACUUCAGGAAACUGGGGCUAAUACCGGAUAGGAGCUCCUGCUGCAUGGUGGGGGUUGGAAAGUUUCGGCGGUUGGGGAUGGACUCGCGGCUUAUCAGCUUGUUGGUGGGGUAGUGGCUUACCAAGGCUUUGACGGGUAGCCGGCCUGAGAGGGUGACCGGCCACAUUGGGACUGAGAUACGGCCCAGACUCCUACGGGAGGCAGCAGUGGGGAAUAUUGCACAAUGGGCGGAAGCCUGAUGCAGCAACGCCGCGUGCGUGAUGACGGUCUUCGGGUUGUAAACCGCUUUCGCCUGUGACGAAGCGUGAGUGACGGUAAUGGGUAAAGAAGCACCGGCUAACUACGUG